AGCAAUAAGAUGUGACAAAGAUGUAAAAGCAGAAUUAAAAUAAAAUAAACAUACUCAAUGUCUUCUCCGUUUUUAGUAUUAUCCCCUUAAGGACACAGCUUAAGAAGUAUGAGGCCAGCAUGACAGAAAAUGUCCAUCAUGUGUCCUUAAGGGGUUUUUAAUGACUGAGAUGUUCAUACUGUAAGUUGUGCCAAUAUAUUUCCUUUGAGGUUAUUCCCCAAUG